rnacentral:rRNA from 1 species
AAUGAACGCUGGCGGCGUGUCUAAUACAUGCAAGUCGAGCGAACGGACGAGAAGCUUGCUUUUCUGAUGUUAGCGGCGGACGGGUGAGUAACACGUGGAUAACCUAUCUAUAAGACCGGGAUAACGUCGGGAAACCGGAGCAAAUACCGGGUAAUACUUUGAACCGCAUGGUCCAAAAGUGAAAGAGGCGCUUGCGGUCAGUUAUGGAUGGACGCGCGCUGCAUUAGCUAGUUGGUAAUGUAACGGCGUACCAAGGCAACGAUGCAUAGCCGACCUGAGGGGGUGUGCGGCCACACUGGAGCUGAGACACGUGCCAGACUCCUACAGGAGGCAUCAGUCGGGAAUCUUGCGGAGUGGGCGAGAGCCUGCCGGGGCAAAGCCGCGUGUGUGGUGUAGGUCUUCGGAGCCUAAAACUCUGUUCUUCGGGAAGAGCAUAAGUGUAAGUUGGUGUCGACAUCUUGACGGUACCUACUCAGAAGGCCACGGCUAACUACGUG